CAGGGGAUAGUUUAAGAUUAGAAUUUCA
rnacentral:tRNA from 1 species